CCUUGCGUCUAUCGACUGUACUGCGCGUAAGCGCACGCAGGCGGUUUGUUAAGUCAGAUGUGAAAUCCCCGGGCUCAACCUGGGAACUGCAUCUGAUACUGGCAAGCUUGAGUCUCGUAGAGGGGGGUAGAAUUCCAGGUGUAGCGGUGAAAUGCGUAGAGAUCUGGAGGAAUACCGGUGGCGAAGGCGGCCCCCUGGACGAAGACUGACGCUCAGGUGCGAAAGCGUGGGGAGCAAACAGGAUUAGAUACCCUGGUAGUCCACGCCGUAAACGAUGUCGACUUGGAGGUUGUGCCCUUGAGGCGUGGCUUCCGGAGCUAACGCGUUAAGUCGACCGCCUGGGGAGUACGGCCGCAAGGUUAAAACUCAAAUGAAUUGACGGGGGCCCGCACAAGCGGUGAAGCAUGUGG
rnacentral:rRNA from 1 species